AUUACGUUGCGGCUCGUCAUUAGGCACUUUGCUUUUUUUUAAUGCCAGCUGCCUACUGAAGGGCAACACCGUGGU
rnacentral:pre_miRNA from 1 species